rnacentral:rRNA from 1 species
AGGCUUCAGCAGCGGGUCACUUUGUUCUACCAUCAAUGAAGAACGCAGCAAAAUGCAACGAGCAGUGUGAACUGCGGAACUCAGUAAAUAAUGGAAUCUUUGAACGUACAUUGCACCCUCUGGUAUUCCGGAAAGCAUCCCAUGGGAUCA